CUCCACGAGGAUGGGCACCAGGUGGGGGCCAAAUUUCUGCUCAUAGGCCACGGUCUCAUCCAAACGCUGGCCAAACACCGCUGGAAGAAAAAAGCAGCACCUGCCCAUUAUUUUGAGUCCCGUUGGAUGAACUGACAGACAGGAACAAAGCAAGAGACCAAACCAUACAGCUACCUGGGGAAGAGAAUUACAGACAGACAGCGCAAGGCCCCUGGCUCAGAAACAUUGCCAUGGCGUCUGGAGAAGAUCAAGGAGGCUGGUGAGUUUGGAGUGAAACAAGCACAGGAGGAGGCACUGGAAGACAAGGUAAAAGGUUGCCGCUGUUCAGGAUGACUGAGGCUACGUUUUGCAGUACAUGGGUGAGGCUUUGCAGAAGACAGAAUUUCCCCUGUGAUUCUGCCGCUGACAUCCUGCCUCCUCGUCUAAGCUGUCAACGUUAUCAGCUGUCUGGGGGGGAAAUGGCUUGGGGGUUUCCUUUUAUCACCCAAGGUUCUCACAGAAAUGUUAGGAUUUAGUCUGCAUGCAUCUGUGAGCAACCAAAGUGUCUCUGUCCAACGUGGGCUUUCUUGGUCAGACACAGGCCUGGCCCUGAUAUGCCUUGAUGGUUCUCGCGCCUCUACACCAACUCUCUUGCUGCCCAUGGAAGAACUAGAAGAAUGUCAUUCCCCUUUCUUUUUUCUUUACCCACGUGUUUGCUUUCAGCCGAUGGUCACUUGAAGGAUGAACUAAAACACUGAAGUCCUGGAUGCAGAAGCUGAAGAAGCAGGAAGCUCAGACAGACAAACAGGAAGUGAGAGAAGGGAACUACAAAUGAGUGACUUUGUGACUGACACUGAGACACCAGGAUUCACUCCCAUUUUCGAGGACCUCUGACCUGGCACAUCUUAUGGCAUAAGAGACCUUUUCCAGGUGAAAACUAAUUGCAGUGUUUGGGUGGGUUUUGUUUUAAGGGGACAGUGUUACUAAACUCCAAACAUGCACUAAAUAGAGAUUCACCAACAAAAUAAUUGAUAUGUCUUAUAACAAACUGUCGUGGGCACAUUUAGGAAAGAAUUCAUAAUAUUUUAACAUCAAUUUUAAAAAAUGGAAGAAAGGAUUUACUUUGUGUGCUCAGGAAUGAACCAUUUAUUCUCCUUCAACUCCACCCUUGCCCCCUCUCCUCUUUCCUAACAUUAUUUUAUUGUACCGACUAUGAUAUGGCUGACUUCAAACCAAGAGAAGUGGGAGGAGGCUAUAUCCGGGCUUAAGAGCAGUCCCUGAAAACAUCUCUUUCUUUUAAUAUAUGGGAAGGUAGUUUCAAAAUACAAAUAGAAAAACACAGCCAAUUAAUUGACCUGAAUGUUAAGUUCCGUUAAUACAUAGCUCGAGUUUUGCUGUACGAAUGUAUUUUUGAGGAGAUGGGCUUCCAGAAUGCCUUUCCUACUUGCAUAAGUUUGCGAAAGAGGAUUGAGAGUGUUAAACUAUAAAAGUAGCACUGACUAUUCCAGUCUCCCAGCACUUUCCCCUGCACAAUAAAAAAAAAACGCUUUGGAAAAUGUGACUUUUGUGAUCUUUGGGAGGAGGCCUGGGAAGGGAGGGCUGAGGUUCACAGUGACACAGGAAAUCUGUGUUUGUAAUGCUGAAGUGUGUGGGUGUGUUCACAUGGGCAGAGCUGCAGAGGAAAAACGAAAGAAUAUGUUUGCAAACCAUUGCAGAGGCUGAAUGAGAGGAUCAAAGAGUCUUUACCACUUAUGAAACAUAUUGAUAUCUACACACUAUCCUGGGUUGGGAUUCUGGAAAACAGCCCUUGACAUCAAACAUGCAGUCUAUGAGAGAAAAAUGUGACAUUGGGCUUCAUCAAAAUAAGAAGUUUUUGCUCUAUGAAAGGCACUAAGAGAAUGAAAGUGAGCCACACACAGAUUGGGAGAAAAUAUUUUCAAUCAUUUAUGUGGCCAAGGGAAUUAUAUCCAGGGUAUCUAAAGCAUUCUCAAAGCUCAACAAUAAGAAAACAAACCGACUUUAAAGACAGGCAGAAUAUUUGAAUAGACACUUCAAUGAGUGAAAAGAUGCUCAAUGUGAUUAGUCAGCAGGAAGACAAUAAGUAAGACCACAAUGAGACACAACUGCAAGCAUUUUAGGAUCACUAAAAUAAAAGUUAAAGACAAAGCAACAAUCUCAAGGCCUGGUAAGGAUGAGAAGCAGCUGGAACUGUCGUAUAUGGCUGGUGGGAGCACAGAAUAGUACAGCUGCUUUGGAAAACAAUUUGGCAAUUUCUUACAAUGUUAAACAUAUGACCCAGCCGUCCCACUCCUCAAAAUAUACCCAUGAGAAAUGAGACUUUAUGUUCACACCUGUGAUCACAUAUUUAUAGCAGCUUAUUCAUAAUUUCCAACAAUUAGAAUCAAUCCCAAAGUCUUUCAACUGAUGAAGGGCUACAUCCAUGCAAUGGGACACCAGGGACCAAUAAAAAGGACAAAAAUGUGUGUAUUUAAGCAAUAACAUGGGUGAAUCUCAAAUGCAUUCUGCUGAGUGGAAUAAAUCAGACUCCAAAGGCUACAUACUGUGUGACUCCAUUUAUAUGACAUUUUGGAAAAAGCAAAAUGAGAGGGUUGAAGAACAGAUGAGUGGUUACCCAGGACUGCGGCUGGUGAAGG